GAUCCAGCCCAAACCAGGGAUCAGGUUAAUGAUCUAGCACUGCAGAUGACUGAGUUUAUUACUUCAGAUUUAGCGUCAGAGACACCACCUGUGGCACUAACCACAAGGAAGUAAUGAGCAAGAAUUAACCAAAGGAGAACAAUGGUGCUUUCAAGAACUUACUGCAAAAGCACGUUAACUGGACUGUAUCUAUGUAAGUACCAGAGGCAGAAAACAGACUGAUACUCCAGAAGGCCAGCUCCUAAAGGAGCUCUUGUUCAGCAGAACCCUUCUUGGAAGGGCAAACUCAGGACUGUAAACAUAGAAACAAUUUUCUUUUGAUUGUUCCUACUGCAAGGCAAUGGGUUUGUUGAAUGCUGCAAAGGGGAAGGCAGAGGAGGAAGACAAGGGCAUCCCUAUUUACAGACAGAGAAGAUUGCACCAGAAGUGCUUGACUUACAUAAGCAAUUUGCCCUCCUGUUUGUGUAAGCAAUCCAGCUAGACCACAAAUACCAUUUCAAGUGUUCAGGUGAAAAGAAGUUGCAAGUCAUUUUCUGAGAAAAUGCUUCGAAACGCAGAGCCCAAGGCUGUGACAUCAACCUCAGACCUCUGCAUACCAAGCCUGGAUGCUGAUAAAGACAUCAGCUCAAAUUCUAAUCUCCUGGACUGCAGGAUAAACCCAAAACAACUUGUCCUGUAUCAAGUUGGUCUGGGGUGGGAGCCAAAUGGAGCUGGGCUGCACAGAAGUGGCAUGAGCAGGAGCAGGCUCAGAUGCUCAAGGCAGAUGUCGCUAGGCAACAACAGUAACCAUGGUUACCUGCAUCCCAAGCGACUGGUGGAUUUCUGAGAUUAGUCAUUCCUCUGGAAAAAAAAACUUUAAAAAAAAAAAAAGAAUAAAGGAGGAUGUAUCACAAUA